AGGUUCAAUGUGGCCGUUUGCUUUUGUGUUGUCAUCUUUCAGAGGAGAUGGAGGGAGACUCUGAGGAGCCUGAGUCCCGUCUCAGCUGGCUCCCUGCUCAGCUCCGCAAACCUCUGGUCCCAGAGUCAGACUCCAGGGCAGAUGCAUAUGUGGAAGGGAAGGACCAGAUCGGAGGCUGGUUUCAGUCCUCUCUGCUCACCAGCGUAGCCGUCAGGAACAAGGCUCCCUACAAGUCUCUGGUGGUCCAUGGUUUUGCUGUCAGUGAGA